rnacentral:rRNA from 1 species
AGGUGGUGCAUGGUUGUCGUCAGCUCGUGUCGUGAGAUGUUCAGUUAAGUCUGGCAACGAGCGCAACCCCUAUCUUUAGUUACCAGCAUUUCGGAUGGGGACUCUAAAGAGACUGCCGAUGAUAAAUCGGAGGAAGGUGGGGAUGACGUCAAAUCAUCAUGCCCUAUAUGCCCUGGGCUACACACGUGCUACAAUGGAAGAUACAAAGGGAAGCGAAAUAGUGAUAUUAAGCAAACCUCAAAAAGUCUUUCCCAGUUCGGAUUGUACUCUGCAACUCGAGUACAUGAAGAUGGAGUUGCUAGUAAUCGCAGAUCANAAUGCUGCGGUGAAUGCGUUCCCGGGUCUUG